CAGAGAACAUCGCCCUCACGGGUGACUCUCCAACCCUAUGUUAUUUCAACCUUUGUUGCUUUGGCGAGACGCUUCGGCCACCGGCUCCUGCUGGUGUGUGCUCGCCAGAGGACCACAAAACUCUUGUAUAAUUAGGUCGUCUGAGUACUAUAUAAUAGUUA
rnacentral:misc_RNA from 2 species